AAGAAUUCAGGAGGACCUACUUUGUGGGAGAAAAGGUAGUGAGUCAUACCUGCGAACUUGGAAAUGAGAGUUUGCUUGUGCUUCUUCAUCCAGUUGGGAAGUUUCCUAGGCAACCAUUUAUGCAGCAAUUAAAAGAUGAGGAGUUAAGAGGAGAAAAUGGGAAAAACAGAGGUACCUUUAAUGGAACAGAAUAAACCACUGAACAGCUGUCAGUCUUCUUUGCCAUUUUGCUAAUGAUGAACAUCCUGCUGUCAAGAGUCUCCUGCUUCAGUGUGGCCCUCGCAGCGCGGCUGCUUUGUGGAGAAAACAGCGUGAGGACUGGGAAGUAGUAUUUGUUCCCACCUCCCGGACACCUUCCUGAU
rnacentral:lncRNA from 1 species